CCUACGGGAGGCAGCAGUGGGGAAUAUUGCGCAAUGGGGUCCACCCUGACGCAGCAACGCCGCGUGAUUGAAGAAGGCCUUCGGGUUGUACAGAUCUUUAAUUGGGGACGACACAAAUGCCGGUCCCCAAAGUAUAAGCUCCGGCUAACUACGUGCCAGCAGCCGCGGUAAUACGUAGGGAGCAAGCGUUAUCCGGAUUUACUGGGUGUACAGGGCGAGUAGGCGGGCUGGCAAGUUGGGCGUGAAAUCACGGGGCUUAACCCUGGAACUGCUUUCAAAACUGCUGGUCUUGAGUGAUGGAGAGGCAGGUGGAAUGCCGUGUGUAGCGGUGAAAUGCGUAGAUAUACGGAGGAACACCAGUGGCGAAGGCGGCCUGCUGGACAUUAACUGACGCUGAGGAGCGAAAGCGUGGGGAGCAAACAGGAUUAGAUACCCGGGUAGUC
rnacentral:rRNA from 1 species